rnacentral:rRNA from 1 species
GCUUGUCUCAAAGAUUAAGCCAUGCAUGUCUAAGUAUAAACAAAUUUGUACUGUGAAACUGCGAAUGGCUCAUUAAAUCAGUUAAAGUUUAUUUGAUAGUACCUUACUACUUGGAUAACCGUAGUAAUUCUAGAGCUAAUACAUGCGAAAAGACCCGACUUUUUGGAAGGGUUGUAUUUAUUAGAUACAAAACCAAUGCGGAGCAAUCCGGUUUGUGGUGAUUCAUAAUAACUUUCGGAUCGAUCUUCGGAUCGAUGCAUCAUUCAAGUUUCUGCCCUAUCAGCUUUGGAUGGUAGGGUAUUGGCCUACCAUGGCUUUAACGGGUAACGGAGAAUUAGGGUUCGAUUCCGGAGAGGGAGCCUGAGAAAUGGCUACCACAUCCAAGGAAGGCAGCAGG